rnacentral:snRNA from 1 species
GGAUGUGAAGGCGAUCUGACUGCAACAUCUGUCACCCCAUUGAUGACCAGGGUUGAUUUGGCUGAUAUGGCUGACUAGGCAGGUGUCUUCUUCCUCCCUCACCACUCCAUGUGUGUACCUCCUGAAGCUGCACACUCAAAUAAGAGGAUGACCAUCUGGAUAGAGGAGGACAGGUUUUUGGUCAAGGAUAUACAAACAGCUGCACUCCCCUGCUAGAACCUCCAAACAAGCUCCGAAAUAACAUAAGAAUCUUAUGUUCUGGGUAGACAUGAAAUCUUGUGGUUGGGGGGGACACUGUUCAAAUCAGUACAAUCCUCAUCCAGCCCCAGAGAGUGGCCAUUCCAGUGUGG